rnacentral:rRNA from 1 species
AUUGAACGCUGGCGGCAGGCCUAAUACAUGCAAGUCGAGCGGAUGAAGGGAGCUUUCUCCUGGCUUCAGCGGCGGACGGGUGAGUAAUGCCUAGGAAUCUGCCUGGUAGUGGGGGAUAACGUACGGAAACGGGCGCUAAUACAGCACACGUCCUGAGGGUGAAAGUGGGGGAUCUUCGGACCUCACGCUAUCAGAUGAGCCUAGGUCGGAUUAGCUAGUUGGUGGGGUAAAGGCCUACCAAGGCGACGAUCCGUAACUGGUCUGAGAGGAUGAUCAGUCACACUGGAACUGAGACACGGUCCAGACUCCUACGGGAGGCAGCAGUGGGGAAUAUUGGACAAUGGGCGAAAGCCUGAUCGAGCAAUGCCGCGUGAGUGAAGAAGGUCUUCGGAUUGUAAAGCACUUUAAGUUGGGAGGAAGGGCAGUAAGAUAAUACCUGGCUGUUUUGACGUUACCAACAGAAUAAGCACCGGCUAACUUCGUG